UCAAUCCAUCUGUCACCCACUGCCGAGGAGGCUCGCUCUGGAUCCCUCACCAGUAACAUCUUCCGCCCUCUGCCACUAGCCGCCUAACACCAACAGAGUAGGAUCACAGAGUUCCCUCUGCGCUACUUCUCCCCGGUUAGGUCCGCCCAGCUUUAUGUCUCUCCAGCCGUGACGUUCUGACCCUGUCGAAGUUGCCUGUAGUCCCGUCCGUUAUACCUGCCUGUUUCCUAAAUAAACAUCUUAAAACUG